CAGGUCCCGGAUAUACUUUAUCUUUAGCAAAGCAGCAUGCAGCAAGUCACUCUGUGUGCAUUUUCUCAAGAACUAUGCGUUGUGAUAUGUUUUGCUUGAGCUCGUUUGAAUCGAGAACAGUUGCUCUAUAUAAAUAUAGUUUCAUCUUGACAUAUGGCAAACUUCUCUGGCAGGGGUUUCCAGCUGCUGUAUCCUGUGAGUCUGUUCGUUCAGAGGCAUAAAAGGGAGAUUAAACCUUUCUCCCCCUCGUGGGUCCCAGAGCCACAGAAUGUCAAAUCUCCUCUAAAGCCAAUGGCCCCUAGCAAGAAUUAGACCACCUGCAGGCUCUGUAUUGGAUUGUAACAUGUUCACAAAACCUUUUAAAUAAUGCAAGAAUAAGAUCUGUAACAAAAUGUUCCUCCUUAAAUCAGUUCAGAUGCAAACAACUGAUAGAUUAACCAUUUUAGAUCCAUUUAUUGGGUUGCAAAAAUGAACAAAGUAUAUCAUUUUUGUUAAAAGUGUUUUAAUAACAUAUAAAAAGUUUUUUUUUUAUUUGCAAUAAAAUGCAGAUGUGUGAUGAAUGUGCAAACCUCUAUUUGUUGAAGAGCGAGUCUGUAAUCUGUGUUUAAGUCUCAAGUGUAUGAGUUAUGAGGACAAAUCAACAUUAGUUUGUUUACAUGUUUUCAUAAGUAAAUAAAUAAAGUAGUCUUUGUUAAGUUGGAGAUGUUUAUUCUGGCCUAGUGCUCUCUGAUGGAAAUCUGCAGUGUCUGGAUUAUUAUGCAUAUGCCUUAACAUUGAAAAAAACAGAAAACAAUGUAAUUGUGUAACAAAUCACUCAUGAGAAAACUAUAAAGACGUCCAUGAUAGAAACACUUUUGCCAUUCUGUUUGUCAUUGUGCAUAUUCCUGUUCUUUGACCUCGAAAAUAAAACAUUUA